CCAGGCUUCAUUCGCGCUGCGAGCCGUGCACCUUGCUGAUCGUCGUGCACUUGUCGAAUAAAAUUAUCCGCUCGAAAGGCUAACGAUAGAAGACAAAAAUAUAUAUACAAGUAUCAUUCUCCGCUAGAAACGACGGGGGGGGGGCUGAAAAAAAUUUUGUUUUUUUUUUUUCUUCUUUUUUACCAAAAAACCCGUAUAAAUCGACCACGAAUAACGAGAUUUUUUUACCGGAAAUAAAGACGAAAAGAAGGACGAAAAUUUAUCGAAAAAAAACAUCUCGUUCCGUCGUCUUACUCUAUUUUUUUUUUUUUUGCUUUUCGUUCUCCUUCCUCUCGAGGAUCAGUGAGUGAGUGUGUGAAAUUAUUGAAAAUUAUUCUUUUACACGUACAAUCGCCCUUACGAUUCGUGCUUUUCGUUUCCAUUGGUUUUCACCAAGAGCAGCAGUUUCGUUCGUCGUAUACCAAUCAAAUUUUUUCACGGUACGUAAAAUUAUUACCAGUUCGGUUGUUCGACGAUCGAAAUUCUACACGAUUCUAUAAAUGUUAUAAUUAAUUCGGAUACACAACAUUUCCCUACAGUAAAUCGUACACGUAUAUACAUCUUUCCGUAGAUAUGUGUGUCAGUGAAAUUUUGACGAGGACUAAACCGAAUGUGCGAUAAGAAGAUGGGAUUGUUUUUUGAUCUUCGUUAAAGAGAAAAAAGAAAAAAAAAAAAAAAAAAAAUCGGAAAUCAAAAAAAUCAGAGACACAGAGAAACUAAAUAACGACUCGCUGGCCGCAGGGUGGAAUCACGAAAAACUGGGAUUGAAAAUAAACAGGUAUAACGAAUAUUGGGAAGUGAAAAAUUAACGUAACCACGAUGGAAGUAUAAAACGAUAAUCUGUGUAAAUUUGAAAAAAGGAAAACGAAAAAAUUUUCCACUCAUUCGGUUUCAUUCUUUCCGAAUAAUAAAAAUGGCGAAUCUCUGAUACAACAUGAAUAAAACUUGGAAAAUGACGAGGACGAUAAAGAGGUAACGAUCAUAAAAAGAUUAAUUAAUUAAUCGUUCAAUUAAUUAAUUAAUAUCCUCUACGUGUAAAGUAAAGUCAAUACAAAUGCUGCAGGUGCAAUUUUUCAAAAUGAAAAAAAAAAUUGCCGCAAUACCGUAUCAGCAGGAGUGGUUUUUCUACAAUCGCACGUGGAAAUUUAUUCGGUGAGACUUUCGGAUAAAGG
rnacentral:lncRNA from 1 species